rnacentral:rRNA from 1 species
UGCAAGUCGAGCGAACGGACGAGGGUGCUUGCACUCUCUGAUGUUAGCGGCGGACGGGUGAGUAACACGUGGGUAACCUACCUAUAAGACUGGGAUAACUUCGGGAAACCGGAGCUAAUACCGGAUAAUAUUUAGCUUCGCAUGAAGCAAUAGUGAAAGACGGUUCUGCUGUCACUUAUAGAUGGACCCGCGGUGUAUUAGCUAGUUGGUGAGGUAACGGCUCACCAAGGCAACGAUACAUAGCCGACCUGAGAGGGUGAUCGGCCACACUGGGACUGAGACACGGCCCAGACUCCUACGGGAGGCAGCAGUAGGGAAUCUUCCGCAAUGGACGAAAGUCUGACGGAGCAACGCCGCGUGAGUGAAGAAGGUUUUCGGAUCGUAAAACUCUGUUGUAAGGGAAGAACAAGUACGUUAGUAACUGAACGUACCUUGACGGUACCUUACCAGAAAGCCACGGCUAACUACCUGCCAGCAGCCGCGGUAAUACGUAGGUGGCAAGCGUUAUUCGGAAUUAUUGGGCGUAAAGCGCGCGUAGGCGGUCUCUUAAGUCUGAUGUGAAAGCCCCCGGCUCAACCGGGGAGGGUCAUUGGAAACUGGGAGACUUGAGUGCAGAAGAGGAGAGUGGAAUUCCAUGUGUAGCGGUGAAAUGCGCAGAGAUAUGGAGGAACACCAGUGGCGAAGGCGGCUCUCUGGUCUGUAACUGACGCUGAGGUGCGAAAGCGUGGGGAUCAAACAGGAUUAGAUACCCUGGUAGUCCACGCCGUAAACGAUGAGUGCUAAGUGUUG